rnacentral:rRNA from 1 species
AUUGAACGCUGGCGGCAGGCCUAACACAUGCAAGUCGAACGGUAACAGGAAGCAGCUUGCUGCUUCGCUGACGAGUGGCGGACGGGUGAGUAAUGUCUGGGAAACUGCCUGAUGGAGGGGGAUAACUACUGGAAACGGUAGCUAAUACCGCAUAACGUCGCAAGACCAAAGAGGGGGACCUUAGGGCCUCUUGCCAUCGGAGGUGCCCAGACGGGAUUAGCUAGUAGGUGGGGUAACGGCUCACCUAGGCGACGAUCCCUAGCUGGUCUGAGAGGAUGACCAGCCACACUGGAACUGAGACACGGUCCAGACUCCUACGGGAGGCAGCAGUGGGGAAUGUUGCACAAUGGGCGCAAGCCUGAUGCAGCCAUGCCGCGUGUAUGAAGAAGGCCUUCGGGUUGUAAAGUACUUUCAGCGGGGAGGAAGGGAGUAAAGUUAAUACCUUUGCUCAUUGACGUUACCCGCAGAAGAAGCACCGGCUAACUCCGUG